AGAUACCAGGGUCAAAAGGUAUAAAUCCACAUGAGCUUGCUCAUAGGUGGGUGAAAGACCUUGGGACCCGCCCCGAUAUGAGCAUAAAAGUGGGAUGAUAAUCCCACGAUAUGCGAAUAUUGGGGAGAAGUGUCAAUAUAUAUAAGUUGUUU
rnacentral:sRNA from 10 species